rnacentral:rRNA from 1 species
AGAUGCGAGAGUAGAGCAUAUCAAUAAGCGGAGGAAAAGAAACUAACAAGGAUUCCCUUAGUGACGGCGAGUGAAGCGGGAAGAGCUCAAAUUUGAAAUCUUCAAGGUUUUACCUUGACGAAUUGUAGUUUAAAGAAGUGUUUUCUGUUGAAGUUUUGGUAAAAGUUCUUUGGAAUAGGACAUCAUAGAGGGUGAGAAUCCCGUAUUUGACCAUUAUUUUCAGCUGUGUGAUACACUUUCAAAGAGUCGGAUUGUUUGGGAAUGCAGUCCAAAAUGGGUGGUAAAUUUCAUCUAAAGCUAAAUAUUGGCGAGAGACCGAUAGCGAACAAGUACCGUGAGGGAAAGAUGAAAAGAACUUUGAAAAGAGAGUUAAACAGUACGUGAAAUUGUCAAAAGGGAAGCGUUUGACACCAGUGUUGUUUUCUCGAAAAUCAAUUAAAAAAGGCCGGAUUUUGUGUUGUAUUGACCUUAAAAGCUUUCUUCACUCUUUUCUUGUCUUUUUUAAUGCACUUUUCGUUUAACAAGUCAACAUCAGUUUCUUUUGUUGUAAAAGGGUCAUUGGAAGGUGGCUUUCUUUUCGGAGAAGGUGUUUAUAGCCUUUGAUCUCUGCAACCGGAGAGACUGAGGUCUGCAGCGUAGACUCUUCGGGGUUAAAUACAUUUGUGCUAAGCUAUAGCUUUUUAUAGACAACUUGUUGACUAUAUUUAGUCUUGUGGCUUACUCGCCUAUGCUAUUUUACCUACGCUUAGGAUGUUGACACACGCGCGUGCUCG